rnacentral:piRNA from 1 species
UGGAUUAAGUGUCUUUUAGGUACCCUGUCU